AACCAUUCUAUGUCAAAUUUCUAAAAACUUAAAAGAUUGAUCUGACAUAAAGAGGAGGGAUGAGAAUAAUUAGGCUUGAUGGCAAAAGAACAAAGGGAUGCCAUUUUAAUGGAUAUUUGACAAUGAUAGACAACUCUAAAGAGUAGUUGACAGCCAUUUAGCCAAUAAUUGACAUUCGCAUCUGUAGUCCAAAAAUAUUGGUAAUAUUAGGUUAAAUAUGCCAAACAAGGGAAAAGGGGUCUAUUUUGUGCCAAUCUUUUACCCGAGUGGCAUAUAAUUUGUCAAAGCUUGUCCAAUGGCAGGCCUUCUCUUCAUCUCUACUGAUAAAAUUGCUUUCUGUAGUGAGCGAUCAAUAAAACUCUUAUCUCCAACUGGAAAGUUGCUAAAAAUCUGUUACAAGGUAUCGAUCCCAAUAAGUAAAAUAAAGAAAGCACAAGAGAGUGGGAAUAUGGAAAAGCGAUCACAGAAGUAUAUACAAGUAGUUACAGCGGAUGAUUUUGACUUAUGAUUUAUGGGAUUCCUUAAUCAUCAAAAGACUCUGCAGCAGGCAAUUUCCAGUUCUUCAAGCAAGCUAAGAAGAUAACUUUUUCUCCUUUUCUUUUUCAUUUUGUUUCCAAAUUCGCCUUUCAUCAAUGUAAAAUGUUGAUGCAAAACGAAUUGGAUCUGUUCAAACUUGUAACUAGCUCCAUUUUUCCGAGGUUUUCGGUUUUGUAGGCUGAGCCUUGGGCGUUAAUAUGUACAGAUUUAUUGUAAAACUAAUGUAAACUGAAGGCUAAUUCAUGUUUUGGGA